CACGUAGGUGGAUAUUUAAGUCAGGGGUGAGAUCCCAGAGCUCAACUCUGGAACUGCCUUUGAUACUGGGUAUCUUGAGUAUGGAAGAGGUAAGUGGAAUUCCGAGUGUAGAGGUGAAAUUCGUAGAUAUUCGGAGGAACACCAGUGGCGAAGGCGGCUUACUGGUCCAUUACUGACGCUGAGGUGCGAAAGCGUGGGGAGCAAACA
rnacentral:rRNA from 1 species